CCUACGGGUGGCAGCAGUGAGGAAUAUUGGUCAAUGGGCGGAAGCCUGAACCAGCCAAGUAGCGUGCAGGAUGACGGCCCUACGGGUUGUACACUGCUUUUAUACGGGAAUAACGCGCCUUACGUGUACGGCUUUUCAUGUACCGUAUGAAUAAGGACCGGCUAACUACGUUCCAUCAGCCGCGGUAAUACGUAGGGGUCAAGCGUUCUCCGGAUUUACUGGGUGUAAAGGGAGCGUAAACGGUUAUGUAAGUAUGGAGGGAAAGCCCGGGGCCCAACCCCGGGACUGCUUGGGAAACUGGGUAACUGGAGGACAGGAGGGGCAGGCGGGAUUCCUGGUGUAGCGGGGAAAUGCGUAGAUAUCAGGAGGAACACCGGCGGGGAAGGCGGGCUGCUGGACUGAAACUGACGUUGAGGCUCGAAAGCGUGGGGAGCAAACAGGAUUAGAUACCCUAGUAGUC
rnacentral:rRNA from 1 species